rnacentral:lncRNA from 1 species
AGGGGAUGCAGGGGCUGCUGCCGUCCAAUGGGGGGUGGGGAGGUGAGCAGAGCUGCAGGAGGGGGCAGAGACCCCCAGCAUGGAGUCAUUAGGAGUAAUGAGCUCAUUAACGGCACUGAGUGGGGCUCUGGGCUCUCCUCCUUCAUCAGCUCUGGAGUCUGGGCUCUCCUCAGCCUCCUCCAAUGGAAGCAGGUGCAGGGGUUGACCCCAGGUGGGCACAGCACCAGGAUCAGGGCUCCAGGACCCCCAGCGUGGGGUCAUUAGGAGUAAUGAGCUCAUUAACAGCACUGAGGGUGGCUCUGGGCUCUCUCCAUCAUUAGCCCUGGGCUCUGGGCUCUCCUCCAGCCUCCUCCAAUGGAAGCAGGCCCAGGGGGCAGCCCUGGUGGGGACAGCACUAGGAUCAGGGGUUCAGGACCCCCAGCAUGGGCUCAUUAGCUGUAAUGAGCUCAUUAACAGCACUGAGAGGGGCUCUGGGCUCUCUCCAUCAUUAGCCCUGGGCUCUCCUCCAGCCUCCCCCCAAUAGAAGCAGGUGCAGGGAUUGUCCCCAGGUGGGCACAGCACCAGGAUCAGGGCUCCAGGACCCCCAGCGUGGGGUCAUUAGGCAUAAUGAGCUCAUUAACAGCACUGAGGGUGGCUCUGGGCUCUCUCCAUCAUCAGCCCUGGGCUCUCUCCAUCAUCAGCCCUGGGCUCUGAGCUCUCUCCAUUAUUAGCCCUGGGCUCUCUCCAUCAUUAGCCCUGGGCUCUCUCCAUCACCAGCCCUGGGCUCUCUCCAUCACCAGCCCUGGGCUCUCUCCAUCAUUAGCCCUGGGCUCUCUCCAUCACCAGCCCUGGGCUCUCUCCAUCAUUAGCCCUGGGUUCUGGGCUCUCUCCAUCACCAGCCCUGGGCUCUCUCCACCAUCAGCCCUGGGCUCUGAGCUCUCUCCAUUAUUAGCACUGGGCUCUCUCCAUCAUUAGCCCUGGGCUCUCUCCACCAUCAGCCCUGGGCUCCAGGCUUCCCUUCAGCCCCACAGUGUUGAACCUCAGGGUCGUCAGCCCUAACGAGCUCAUUAGCAGGCGGCCGUACCUGGUGCG